UACGUAGGUGGCAAGCGUUAUCCGGAAUGAUUGGGCGUAAAGGGUGCGCAGGCGGAACCAUAAGUCUGAAGUAAAAGCCAUCGGCUCAACCGAUGUAAGCUUUGGAAACUGUGGAUCUGGAGUGCAGGAGAGGACAGUGGAAUUCCAUGUGUAGCGGUAAAAUGCGUAGAUAUAUGGAGGAACACCAGUGGCGAAGGCGGCUGUCUGGCCUGUAACUGACGCUGAGGCACGAAAGCAUGGGGAGCAAAUAGG
rnacentral:rRNA from 1 species